UAGGUAAUUUGGCUCCAACGCCUUUGGC
rnacentral:sRNA from 1 species